UGUGAACCAAGAUUUAGAUGCGGGUCAGGCAAGCAAACAGACCGAAAACUGCGCAGGCCUGGCUGGGCCUAAUCCAAGAUGGCCGGCGGCGCAGUGCCGGUUAGGCUAUUACAACGUUUUGAUCGAUGUCGAGCUCAAUUUCAUCCGAGGAGCAGCGGAAGGCGAUGAUAGCUGAUACGGCCGUAAUUGACGAUGAUGCAGCCAGCGCGGUGCAGCAGAAGGAGGUGAUAAAGAAAAAGACGAAGAAGAAGACUUUUCGGCUGCCAGACGACGAGUUGGAGCUAAUCUUGGCUUUCAAGCCAUCCGUACAUUACCCUGAUCCCAUCUUCUCCCCGGUGCUAGAGGAGAAGCUGCCCGACACCGUUCGGGGAGUGCGGGCCACCAUGGCGAAGGCUGAUGCGCUGUUGGAAAAGAACCAUGAUUCAAUAAGCUCUGAGCAUGCGAGGAUUCAGGCGGAGUACCAGGCUAAAGGGUAUGCUACUUACCAAGCCGAGGUCACCGACGACGAGGAAGAAAUCAUUCAAGUUCCUAGACGUGGACGGAGAAGACACCGGCCUGGAGUAGUGAAGCGUAAAGGAGAGAUCAAGAAGAUAAAUUAAGGGGUACCAGGCUAAUUGGUGUACUGCUGGAGCUAAGUUCGGUGUACUGCUAAUCGUUUAUAUUGGUGUUUAAUCAAUGAGGCUUAAUAAUUCAGUUCAGUGUACUUUUUUAUACUCAGCCAUGUUUGGAAAGAUAUUAAAUGUUUCGUAUCACUAUAAAAGGUAUUAUGUA